GCAUAUCAAUAAGCGGAGGAAAAGAAACCAACAGGGAUUGCCCUAGUAACGGCGAGUGAAGCGGCAACAGCUCAAAUUUGAAAUCUGGCUCUCGGGCCCGAGUUGUAAUUUGUAGAGGAUGACUUUGAUGCGGUGCCUUCCGAGUUCCCUGGAACGGGACGCCAUAGAGGGUGAGAGCCCCGUCUGGUUGGAUGCCAAAUCUCUGUAAGUCUCCUUCGACGAGUCGAGUAGUUUGGGAAUGCUGCUCUAAAUGGGAGGUAUAUGUCUUCUAAAGCUAAAUACCGGCCAGAGACCGAUAGCGCACAAGUAGAGUGAUCGAAAGAUGAAAAGCACUUUGAAAAGAGAGUUAAAAAGUACGUGAAAUUGUUGAAAGGGAAGCGUUUAUGACCAGACUUGGGCUUGGUUAAUCAUCUGGGGUUCUCCCCAGUGCACUUUUCCAGUCCAGGCCAGCAUCAGUUUUCGCCGGGGGAUAAAGGCUUCGGGAAUGUGGCUCCCCUCGGGGAGUGUUAUAGCCCGUUGUGUAAUACCCUGGCGGGGACUGAGGUUCGCGCUUCUGCAAGGAUGCUGGCGUAAUGGUCAUCAACGACCCGUCUUGAAACACGGACC
rnacentral:rRNA from 1 species